UACGUAGGGUGCGAGCGUUUAAUCGGAAUUACUGGGCGUAAAGCGUGCGCAGGCGGUUGUGCAAGACCGAUGUGAAAUCCCCGGGCUUAACCUGGGAAUGGCAUUGGUGACUGCACGGCUAGAGUGUGUCAGAGGGGGGGUAGAAUUCCACGUGUAGCAGUGAAAAUGCGUAGAGAUGUGGAGGAAUACCGAUGGCGAAGGCAGCCCCCCUGGGAUAACACUGACGCUCAUGCACGAAAGCGUGGGGAGCAAACAGG
rnacentral:rRNA from 1 species